rnacentral:rRNA from 1 species
CCUACGGGAGGCAGCAGCAAGGAAUAUUGUGCAAUGGGCGAAAGCCUGACACAGCGACGCUGCGUGGGGGAAGAAGGCCUUCGGGUUGUAAACCCCUUUUCUCAGGGAAGAUGAUGACGGUACCUGAGGAAUAAGUCUCGGCCAACUACGUGCCAGCAGCCGCGGUAAUACGUAGGAGGCGAGUGUUAUCCGGAUUUACUGGGCGUAAAGAGGGCGUAGGCGGCUUGGCAAGUCGGAUGUGAAAUCUCCUGGCUUAACUGGGAGGGGUCAUUCGAUACUGUUGGGCUAGAGGGCAGCAGAGGGAGGUGGAAUUCCCGGUGUAGUGGUGAAAUGCGUAGAUAUCGGGAGGAACACCAGUGGCGAAGGCGGCCUCCUGGGCUGUUUCUGACGCUGAGGCUCUAAAGCGUGGGGAGCGAACAGGAUUAGAUCCCCCGGUAGU